UGUUGUCGAUGAUGUUUUUCACAAAAUCCCUUACUUACCUUGUUUGAAUGUAAAAUGAGAACUAACUUAAUCUGAGACAUCU